CAUUAUUAUAAAAAGAUGUUGCCUGGUGACCUGUCAGAAACCCAUCAUACAGAGUCAGCCAAAAUAAUGUUUACACACAUCAGGAAAAGAAAAACUAGCAUAAAUAUUUCAAUACCAAAUUUAUUCAGACAUCAUGAGAUUAAUAAAAGUUAUCUUUGGCCUCUACAAUUACAAGAGGUGCUCAAAGUGGUGGCCACUGGCUUCCAGACAUUUCUGUUGUGUUGUAGACGUCACUUGUUGAUGCUCCAUUCAUGAGGUAGCGCCAUCUGUUGGGAAAACAUCGUACAACAGGACACAGAGUUAUCGUGAUUUGAUCAAACUUAGAAAGAGGAAUCUAUAUGUGUAGAAGUACUUAAAUGAAAUAUUUAUAAAAGUUUUUCUUUUCCUGAUGUGUGUAAACAUUAUUUUGGCUGAUUCUGACUCUGUGAACUUAAUGAGAACAAAACUGUCAUUUAGUUGUUGCUCUGAAAGCUUCUUUAGUGAAAACCAGCUGGUGUUCUGCUUUGAAACAAACUGCUGUUGAGGUCUAUGUUUUUAGGUUUAACCCCACAGUUUCUGAAUGAACUGAUAGUUGUUUUUUUUCCUGAUCAAUGUGGACGUUAUAAUUGAUGGUAACAUUUACUGAUCAUAUAAUCAGCAUGACAAUAUAACAGUAGAACAUUCUGACCACGUGACUAAUGCUGUGUUGGUCCCUUUAUGCUGCUAAAACUCCUCUGACCCAGUGGUUUAUCAGAACCUCUGGGGAUCCUGUGGAUCCUGUGGAUUCUGUGGAUCCUGUGGGUUGCAGGGUGGGUCCUACCUAGACCAGGCUGAUCCUGGACCAUCCCACAGAUGCUCCAUCAGAUCUGGAUGUGGGGAGUGUGGAACCCAGAUGUUCAGAGGGAGAUGAUGCCACAUCUGGUCCAGCAGAUGGAAGGUCUUGAAGUUCUCUGACUGGCCUGGACUGAAGAUGGUCGUCUCACUGGAUUUAAGGUUCAGAUGCUCAGUAACAAACUCCACCAAUGAGCCAACAGGGAAGCUGUAGGUUUAUUAAAUGUUGCUAUGAAGGUUUCACUGUUUUUCUUUGUGGAUGCAAUGUGCUCCAACUGAAACUUGAAUUAGAACUUAGAAGUAAAUCCUUCCAUCUGAAAGGAUUUAGUUGCAUUAAUAACCUCAUAACAUUCUAAUUUUUAUUCCAGUCUUGGUUGGAAAUAGAAUCUCUGUAUUGAUUCAGGUAAAAACUGAACUUCACAGCAUGUUGGAGCAAAACAACCAGAUGAAAACUGUGAUGGUGUUGGAUUGUCAGACCGUAAUGUUGCAGCUCAAAGCAGCUUUUCUAUCUCAGUUCAUUCUGACAUUCAGCUAUGAAUCAACACAGCAGAUGGUGAUCCAUGCUGUGGAAAUCUCACAUCUCCUGAUUUAAUGGAGCUGCUUUGCACUUUUUACACUGUUUAUUCACCAACACUUUAUUUAAUGAAAGUCCCAUCUAGUUUUUAUGAGGAAUGUGAUGUUUUAAUUUCUCUGAAUAACUGCAGUCUAAUGGAAGAGCUGGAACUGUAACAUCUGUCCUGAUAUUGAUCAUGAAGUAUUGAUCAGAAUACUUAUGGUUAGCAGUCAUCCCUGAAGUUUUACAUUAAAAUCAUUACUUGUGUUGUGAACUUUGGUAAGAAGCAGAAACUUUAGCGUUGCCAUGGAUACAUGAGUGUUAAAUUCUGUCCAUGUUUCCAUUUUGGGAAAUUCAGUCCAUCAGAUGAGUUUGUUUUUACUGCCAGCUACCAUUCAGUCUGAGAUAUUAAGAAUAAAUAAAUGUGCAUAAUGUGGAAAUGAAGAGAUUUUAUUUUUAUUUAUUCCUACAGCUGCUGCAUGGAAAGUUCCAGAAUGUGGAGGAAUUUAGUCUCAUAAUCACAGACAAUAAAUAUUAUCUGAAAGUCAGGUUAUUGUUGUUUAUCAGCACAAUACAAAAAGAUUAAUGUUAGAAAUAUUGCAGUUAAGACUCUAGAAUAUCAUGAUUGAUGUAAAUUUACAUCAAUAAUAUGAAUGUUCAGGUUAAGAUUGUGCAGUGAUAUUUAUUCUGUAAGUUUAGCUGAUUAAAGUUUAUGACUCUGAUUAUUUAAAUUGACAUCAUUAUUCUAAUAUUUAGGGUCAGACCCUACAGUAUUGAGAUUAAGAAAUCAAAUAUUCUAUAAAAUGUAAAUACACUGAACUCAUUUGGAUAUAUUUAAGUGAGACUCUACAAUAUUAUGUGACACAAAUCUAUCUAAAUCCAAAUUUUAAUCAUUUUUCUCCAAACAUUUACUGGACUGAUUUAAACUUUAAAAUCACUCCUUUCUAAUCCUCUGCUGUACGUUCAAACCUGAGGCCUUAAAUAGAAACACACAAGUAUCUGAUUGAAGGAACUUCUGCAGAGUCCUGGUUCCAGAACAUGAUGAUAGAAUUAUAGACAAACUUUAACAAAAGCUGCCUGAGAGUUUACAGGUUUUUAUGUUGGAUUUCUUCAGUAAUUUAAUGAGAGUUAUCAGCAAAAAUCAAGUGUUCAUUUGAUGAACUUCAUUUCCUAAAACAUCCAGAAUUGGAGCUCGUAUCUUUGGCAGCUGUAAAGUUUCUGCUCCUUCAAAGUUCACAACACAAUGAAUGAAUUCCUAAAACACUCUCAAUGCUGGAGAGCGUUUGAUGCUGAAGCAGUGAGCAGUUUUUCUGUUUCUUCUCUGGAGAUGCACAAUGAGGGACGUCUGCAGCGACUGAGAAAGAGUCUCACCACAUCCUGACAUGAGGAAAAAGACUUUAUUGAAGACUACAAUGAGAAAAACUAUCAGACAGCAGACGGCUGCAUUCAAGGUGAGCUCUGAACAUUUGAUCUGGAACAGGAAUUCAAUGACGGCAGCAUGAGCUUCAUUUCAGUCUGUAGCUGCUGAAUUCAUGGAUGAAUCAUCUGGCACUAGAGAAGAAGACCAUCAAACAUCCACGUCAGCUGAUGGAGGUCCAAGAGUCUCACCCAACAAACAACCUACAGAAUGAAGACCUCCAAUCUGAUUGGACGGCCUCCUAUUCAGCCACAUGUGUGAACAAAUGCCUCUAAGCUGAUUUGUUUUCUAAAAUUUGUUUUCUGGAACCAGCUCCCAGUUUGGGUUCGGGAGGCGGACACCCUCUCUAUUUUUAAGACCAGGCUUAAAACCUUCCUUUUUGACAAAGCUUAUAGUUAGGGCUGACUGGGUGACCCUGACGGGGUGAGCUGGUUUUCAUUUGCACAACUGACUUCCCCUCUUGACGUCCCUUUAGUUUGCCCCUAGUUAUGCUGCUAUAGGCCUAGGCUGCUGGGGAACCUCUCUGGAUGCACUGAGCCCUUCUCUAACUACCUAUGUAUUUACUAUAUAUACCAUUAUUGCAUUACAUUCACUCUGUUUCUUUCUGUGUCCUUUCUCCGAGUGUCCCUGGUCCCAGAGCUGGAUGCUGGAUGCUUCAGAUGUGUGGCUGUGUUUUAUGGUCCUUGUGUCCCACCCCCCCACCUCUCUAUCUCUACCCCUCUACCUCCAUCCCUCUAUCUCUACCUUUCUACCUCUUCUGUCCCUCUCAACCCACCCGGCCAGCAGCAGAUGGGUCCCCCCACAUUAGAGCCGGGUUCUGCUCGAGGUUUUUUUCCCUGUUAAAAGGGUGUUUUCCUUGCCACUGUCUCCUUAGGGCUGCUCUGGGGGUCAGCCAUAUGGGUUCUGUAAAGCGUCUCGAGACAAUUUGACUGUAAUUGGCGCUAUAUAAAUAAAAUUGAAUUAAAAAAAUAAAUAAAUAAAUCUAGUUUAAGUCCUAA